GCAGUAGCCGCGGGAAUACGUAGGUGGCGAGCGUUGUCCGGAAUUAUUGGGCGUAAAGGGAGCGCAGGCGGACAUAUAAGUCCAUCUUAAAAGUGCGGGGCUCAACCCCGUGAGGGGAUGGAAACUGUAUGCCUUGAGUGCAGGAGAGGAAAGCGGAAUUCCCAGUGUAGCGGUGAAAUGCGUAGAUAUUAGGAAGAACACCAGUGGCGAAGGCGGCUCACUGGCCUGAUACUGACGCUGAGGCACGAAAGCGUGGGGAGCAGACAGGAUUAGAUACCCCAGUAGUCCCUGUCUUUAUACAC
rnacentral:rRNA from 1 species